rnacentral:rRNA from 1 species
UACGUAGGGGGGCAAGCGUUGUCCGGAGUUACUGGGCGUAAAGCGCACGCAGGCGGUCUUUUUAAGUUUGAGUGACAGUUGGUGGCUUAACUGCCAAAGUGCUUCGAAAACUGAGAGACUUGAGGGCUUCAGAGGGACACGGAAUUCCGGGUGGAGUGGUGAAAUGCGUAGAGAUCCGGAGGAACACCAAAGGCGAAGGCAGUGUCCUGGGGAGUACCUGACGCUCAGGUGCGAAAGCCAGGGGAGCGAACGGG